UUUUAAUUAGGAAACGAUGAUUCAUAUAUUUAAUUUGGGCACUUUAUAUAUGAUGAGUUAGUAGUGCAACCGACCUUUAAGU
rnacentral:ncRNA from 2 species